rnacentral:rRNA from 1 species
UACGUAGGGUGCGAGCGUUGUCCGGAAUUACUGGGCGUAAAGAGCUCGUAGGUGGUUUGUCGCGUUGUUCGUGAAAACUCACAGCUCAACUGUGGGCGUGCGGGCGAUACGGGCAGACUGGAGUACUGCAGGGGUGACUGGAAUUCCUGGUGUAGCGGUGGAAUGCGCAGAUAUCAGGAGGAACACCGGUGGCGAAGGCGGGUCUCUGGGCAGUAACUGACGCUGAGGAGCGAAAGCGUGGGGAGCGAACAGG